AUACGGAGGGUGCAAGCGUUAAUCGGAAUUACUGGGCGUAAAGCGCGCGUAGGCGGUUUGAUAAGUCGGAUGUGAAAUCUCCGGGCUCAACCUGGGAAUUGCAUUCGAUACUGUCAGGCUAGAGUGUGGUAGAGGGAAGUGGAAUUUCCGGUGUAGCGGUGAAAUGCGUAGAUAUCGGAAGGAACACCAGUGGCGAAGGCGGCUUCCUGGACCAACACUGACGCUGAGGUGCGAAAGCGUGGGGAGCAAACAGGAUUAGAAACCCUAGUAGUCC
rnacentral:rRNA from 1 species